rnacentral:rRNA from 1 species
ACCCGCUGAACUUAAGCAUAUCAAUAAGCGGAGGAAAAGAAACCAACAGGGAUUGCCUCAGUAACGGCGAGUGAAGCGGCAACAGCUCAAAUUUGAAAUCUGGCUCUUUCAGGGUCCGAGUUGUAAUUUGUAGAGGAUGUUUCGGGCGCGGCGCCGGUCUAAGUCUCUUGGAACGGGGCGUCAUAGAGGGUGAGAAUCCCGUAUGUGACCGGUGACCAAGCCCAUGUGAAACUCCUUCGACGAGUCGAGUUGUUUGGGAAUGCAGCUCAAAAUGGGUGGUAAAUUUCAUCUAAAGCUAAAUACUGGCCAGAGACCGAUAGCGCACAAGUAGAGUGAUCGAAAGAUGAAAAGCACUUUGGAAAGAGAGUCAAAAAGUACGUGAAAUUGUUGAAAGGGAACGCUUG